ensembl:lncRNA
GGCUGGAGGUGUUAAGGAGGGAGGAUGAGGGGGGGACGCAGUAGCGGGCAGAUGCUGAAGAGAGAGAGAAGCAGGAUAUGGGAAAAAACAACAAGUGAGUGAACUGUUGCUCAGAAAAUAAAGUCGCCGUGCGCCGGAUUAAUUCACGGCGAAAGUCUGCAAAAAGUUUGGACCGCAGCGCAACUUCAGCCGAAGCGCCAGUAGACGCGCCUCAGUCUUUCGCUCGGGUCCUGGACCAGCUUUCCUGCGGCGUUUCUGUCUGAACCCGUGGGAUGAAAACCCACUGAAGACCGGGGUUUAAAAAAAAAAAGGAGCAAAGAAAGAAGACAUCUGGACAAGUAAAGCGCCCUUCCCUCUAUGUGGUGGGUGAGAUGAACUCCAGUGGGAAUACUGUAGACCCCACCUGACAGCUCUCUGCCUGAGCAACUGAAGGAUUUUCACUGGAGCUUCUACAACCACAGAAGUGGAUUCGUAUAAAAAGCAGCUUGCCUAAAAUCCAGCUUCUCAGCGGUUUCACUCAUUUUGAACCAAGUAAUUUAGAAUAGUUGUGUUAUAUGAUGUAUACCUUUAAAGAUGAUAAAAUCCUGAAGACAUAAUGAUCUAGGGGAAAGUGAAAAAUAAAAAGGAUACACGUGUACUGAAAGCCAAGUAAUG